AUUGAACGCUGGCGGCAGGCCUAACACAUGCAAGUCGAGCGGAUGAAGAGAGCUUGCUCUCUGAUUCAGCGGCGGACGGGUGAGUAAUGCCUAGGAAUCUGCCUGGUAGUGGGGGACAACGUUUCGAAAGGAACGCUAAUACCGCAUACGUCCUACGAGAGAAAGCAGGGGACCUUCGGGCCUUGCGCUAUCAGAUGAGCCUAGGUCGAAUUAGCUAGUAGGUGAGGUAAUGGCUCACCUAGGCGACGAUCCGUAACUGGUCUGAGAGGAUGAUCAGUCACACUGGAACUGAGACACGGUCCAGACUCCUACGGGAGGCAGCAGUGGGGAAUAUUGGACAAUGGGCGAAAGCCUGAUCCAGCCAUGCCGCGUGUGUGAAGAAGGUCUUCGGAUUGUAAAGCACUUUAAGUUGGAAGGAAGGGCAGUAAGUUAAUACCUUGCUGUUUUGACGUUACCAACAGAAUAAGCACCGGCUAACUUCGUGCCAGCCGCCGCGGUAAUAC
rnacentral:rRNA from 1 species